AUUAUCAUCUCCCUCUACAUUGUCAAAGGCGGCUUUCCCGGUUAACAUCUUUAUAGCUAUUUCGGAAACUUCAACAAACCACUCAUCCUCUGAUGGCGAGAUAAGUAACGGCCUUGGGAUGAAAAUAUCAUCACAAAUUGCAUGUCCAAAUAAAGCUGCACAAAUUAUCAUCUAUGAGUCUGAUAUCAUUUUAGGCUACAAAAGUUAAUUUUGAAAGAGGUUCUUUCUAAUGCUCAUUGAGCAUAGAGAAACUUUAAUUCACAGUUAUUUGGAAUCACUCUCAACUAGUGGCUGUGAUACUCAAUGAACUCAUUCAAGUGACUACCUGUUGAAG